GGAACCUUGGGGGCGAAGCAUCGCUUCGUUUGUUCCGCAGAGGAGUGGCUGAUCGUGAAAUGUCACGCCUAGAACCAGCUCAGACCUCUCCUUUGCCCACCCUGUUGCACAACACGAGCGGACUUUUACGGGGAUGAUUCCGCUCCAAAGGACAGAUGGAGGCAUAGCUCGCUGGAGGCCAAGACCUGCGGCAUAAGUACAACUAUGACCACCAAUGGGCAGGAUUCUGGGCCCUGCUUUGUGAACCAUGGCUUCCAGCAGGAAGUAGAGGAAAGGCCCCCUCCCUUCAACCCAUCCACGAGUUUGUAUCCCCAGCUGUCCCAGGACCGCCCCUCUGACGUGCCCCAGUACAUCCCCCACAAUGCCCCUAGUGUCUCAGCUCUUGCCCCUGCUGUUGCCCCUGCUCUGGCCCCUGCUGAUGCCCCCUCUCUUAUCCCUGCUGAUGCCCCCUCUCUUACC